rnacentral:rRNA from 1 species
AUUGAACGCUGGCGGCAUGCCUUACACAUGCAAGUCGAACGGCAGCACGGGAGCAAUCCUGGUGGCGAGUGGCGAACGGGUGAGUAAUAUAUCGGAACGUGCCCAGUCGUGGGGGAUAACGCAGCGAAAGUUGUGCUAAUACCGCACACGAUCUAUGGAUGAAAGCGGGGGAUCGCAAGACCUCGCGCGAUUGGAGCGGCCGAUAUCAGAUUAGGUUGUUGGUGAGGUAAAAGCUCACCAAGCCUGCGAUCUGUAGCUGGUCUGAGAGGACGACCAGCCACACUGGAACUGAGACACGGUCCAGACUCCUACGGGAGGCAGCAGUGGGGAAUUUUGGACAAUGGACGCAAGUCUGAUCCAGCAAUGCCGCGUGCAGGACGAAGGCCUUCGGUUGUAAACUGCUUUUGUACAGAACGAAAAAGUACUUUAAUUAAACACUAGAGGACGUCAUGACGGUACUGUAAGAAUAAGCACCGGACCG